rnacentral:lncRNA from 8 species
AUGUGUAAUGAUGUGUUUGUUUUAGGUGAGUUAUUUGAUUACGCAACCCCAUGGAAAAGGACCUCUAUUGUGUUAUGCUGUCUGGGAGCCGUCACUGUGAUUGGUUUAUCUCUGGCUAUCUACUGCAUAUGGAAACAUAAUAAGAAAGAAAAACUCGGUAAGGGGUUGCUAGGUAAGUAGUGUCUUCAGAUCAUCACUUUAAUAACAACAUUAUGUAAACCAAUGUCUCUUCUAUAGAUGUAACUUCUAGUGAAGUAGAAAACACAUCAUGUUGUGCAUAUUAAUGUUCCCUGACUUUUAUCUGAUGUUGGAACAUUGAUAUGAGACAAGGAGUCCCAGAGAGAGACGACAUCUUCUGGUGUUCAUGUUAAUGAUGUUCUCACUGUCUUCCAUCUACUCUACAUGUUUACAGAUGACAUCACUAAGGAGAUGCUAGGUAAGUAGUGUCUUCAGAUCAUCACUUUACAAACAUUAAGUAAACCUAUGUUUCUUCCAAAGAUGUAACUUCUAGGGAAGUAGAAAACACAUAAAUGUUGAUGUUCUAGAACAGGAUGUGUUGAGACUGUAGAGGACCACUAGACUAGAGAGAGGUAGUCUCUGAUACACCUGGAUCACUGAUGGACCAGUCACAUUAAUGUUGAUGUUCUAAAACAGGAUGUGUUGAGGCUGUAGAGGACCACUAGACUAGAGAGAGGUAGUCUCUGAUACACCUGGAUCACUGAUGGACCAGUCACAUUUUGAUUCUAUUUAUUUAUUUCACCUUUGUUUAACCAGGUAGGCUAGUUGAGAACAAGUUCUCAUUUACAACUGUGACCUGGCCAAGAUAAAGCACAGCAGUUCGACACAUACAACAACACACAGUUACACAUGGAAUAAACAAACAUACAGUCAAUAAUACAGUGCAAAUGAGGUAAGAUAAGGGAGGUAAGGCAAUAAAUAGGCCAUGGUGGCAAAAUAAUUACAAUAUAGCAAUUAAACACUGGAUGAAUGUGCAAGUAGAGAUACUGGGGUGCAAAGGAGCACGAUAAAUAAAUAAAUACAGUAUGGGAUGAGGUAGUUGGAUGGGCUGUU